rnacentral:tRNA from 1 species
CGGCGAGUGGCGCAGUUUGGUAGCGUGGCUGGUUUGGGACCAGUAGGUCGGAGGUUCGAAUCCUCUCUCGCCGA